UAUAUAUAUAUAUAUAAUAAUCAUAGUGUCCUUUAGGCUGGAGUCAGACCCGUUCAUCCUCUCCUAUGUUAAUUUUGGGAACCAUACUCAAAUUUGAUUAAAUUGUUGGCAUAGUCUCUUAUGUCACACUGAACCAAACAACAGCUCUAACAAGCUCUUUUCUAAACACACAUGUUUCUGGCGUGUGCUUUCAGAUAGUGCUCAAGAACAUCUAUUAACACACAUUCACCCAGCAGCAUAUGUACAGUUUAAAUAUGCCUUAUGUCAAUAGUCAUGGCUAAAGUCUACUGCCACCAUGAAAUAUAACCAGACAAUGUACUGUAUGGAGACACUCACAUUUAUUUGAGGAAAAAUGUAACAAGUAUUGGGAAAGUGUAUGUGUAUACACCAAUGAGAAAAGUGGUAUGUUUUAUAUCAAGGUGUAUGCUGAACAUGUUCUGUGACCUGACAUUGUAACGCCACGAUGACCUCGUGCUCUCUGUUUUCAGUGAUAAUAACAUUCAGCUUCGCACCGCUUUGAAAAAUCUUUAAAAAGUUGAUAAAAAUCUGCUACUCUUCCUGCCCUCCUACAGUAUGAAGAAGACAUAAAGUGCACUUCCAGGAGACUGUCCACUACAGCGGUGGACAAACAUCAGGCACCCGGUCAGGAGAAGGUCAGUGAUGUCUGGCUGUCCAAACACACUUUAGGACGUCCAGAAUCCUCUCAGGGCGAUGUUCAGAUCCUUGAGUUUGGUGGAGAGAACUGUAGUCUGCUCUGAGCUGACCCAUACUCAAGGUUCAGAGGAAUCUGAUGAAUGUGGAUGAGGCCAGCGUCUGCUUGUGGACCACACUGAAGAUGAUCCAGAUCUGAGAAGCAGCGUCCCAGCUGAGUAUCAGAACUUGUGUUGUAUCCUUGUGAUGAAUGGAUAAAUAUUCGGCCCGGUCUCGAUCAUCCAGAGAACACGAGUGAUGUUUGCUUCAGUCUGAAGAAUGAUCAUUCUGUCUUCUCGUUCUGCUUCUUCUGUACAUCAUAGUUCAUGACGAAGGUAGAAUUAUACAGUGUUAUCUGUGAUGUCACUCUGAUAUCCUCACAAGGGCAUGCUGUACAGUCAUAAUCAUAAGAAGAACCACCAAAGAUAUACCAACAUUACUCUAUUUAUUUAAUAGAAAUGAUUCUAAGUGUUGUUUGUACGGUAAAAAGUCAUAGAAAAACAGCACAAAUGUAGAAAUGUACGAAACAUAAAAACACUAACCAGACCGCACUACUGUACAAUGUAUUAUUUGUACACAGAUGUCAAAAUGAACUGUUUUACUUAAGCUGUGAUGCUAUAUUUUUUCUUUAUUUUCCAAAACAGGCAAAAUAAAUCAACCCACCUCUGAAA